rnacentral:tRNA from 2 species
GGCUCCGUAGCUCAGUUGGUAGAGCAACUGACUCUUAAUCAGUGGGUCAAGGGUUCGACCCCCUUCGGAGUCA